GGAGUGGUUGCUCUGGUCUGCUCUGCAGACAGACAGCCACACUGCCCUCUUGUGGCCGGGAGAGCAAGAAUCAGGAAAUAUUUUUCCUGUCUUGCUGGUCGCAGCCACAGCUGGAAGUGGCCCCAGGGCAGGCAGGCAGGCCGCAAAAAUAUUCACUGUGGGCAGCGACAUGCUUAAUGUAGACUAACUCUCCCUUUAGGAGUCCAGCAAUUACCAUCUGCUGUUGGACAAUUAUUAUCCUGUAACAUCCUUUGUUUUUUUAUUAUG